rnacentral:lncRNA from 1 species
GGGUUUUAACGAGGCAGCAAGUCUAAUGCAUCUCCACUUCGAUCCCACUCGACUCACGACUUGGAAACGUUAGUAGACAAGCUCCGGAGGUGACGAAGUGAAGAUCCUAUCCCCAAGAAGGCAUCCAUCUUCAAUAAAGCCUUCUCCAUCGAUCCUUAUCGAUCCGUUUCUAUUUUCUCGAAGAAUUCUCGGUCGUUUCACUUUUUACCAAGAAUUUCUCGAUCCUUUUACCUUUUUAUCGAGAAUUUCUCGAUCCUUUUACCUUUUAGCGAGAGAGCCGUUAGAAAAUGCGCUUUCUCGCUUUUCCUUUGUGUGGAGCUUAAAGACCCACGUGUCUAGGGCAAUUUUAAGCCCACUUUCUCGAUGACUUGUGAAAAGACACCCGUUUUUUUUAAUUCAUUAAUUAAUAGUCCCAUACCUACUAAUUAACCUAACCGAAUUAACCCAACAAUAAAUCAUCAUGCACAGCGGAAACAUAUUAAACCAACAUCAAUUAAUCAUAAUAUUAAUUAAUCAAACAUUCAAUAACUACAAUUUACACCAGCAACCUAGCAUGCCUCUAAACCAGGUUCCAACAACAAUUAACAUAUUCAUAAACAUAACAACCGAGACCCUAGAUCAUCCUCCUCUCCUCGCCAUGAUUCCACGGAUCACAAUUUACCUGCACCACAAACGCAAUGAGAUGCGUGAGUAUUAUCACAAAUACUCAGUUUUGAGAGCGAUCCUCCCAUCUACGAGCUAUACACACAAGCUAUGAGAUAACACCCACAUAUAUAACAUAAACAAACCAUUCAUCAAGCUAAACAUCCAAUAACACUUACAAUUCACCUACAAAUCAUCACAAACAAGUCACUCAAUCCCAAUCGCUUAGAGAAGCUCAUGGUCACGCACUCACCUUAACAAGGUGAUUUAAAUAACAAAAACAACCAGAAAAGACUCUCCUCGCGACUGCAACAGCCAAACAACGCCCUACAACAAACCACACAAACAAAAAUCUCUAAGAACCAAAAGGACAGAAACAGCAGUAAAACUACAGCCGCAGAAACGAAGCCCUAAAACAUAAACCAACCGUUAACUUCUUAAUCCCUACGGUGAAAAGCAAGAUCCAGACGUCACGAAGCUCCCCACAACCUUUGGUACCGAUCGGAGAAGCGACGAAACUAUGAUUGCACUUAUAAACUCCGCUGAUCCCAGUUCGCAACAGAGAAAACACGUCUCACCAAACUGCAUAUAACUCACUGAGUAUUAAUCCGAAUUCACUUCUGUAAAAAGGAGAAUCAAUGUACACGCCUUAAGAACAAACCUACCAAAGCAAAGCUAACCCUCUCCUUCUACCAGGACGUGAUGAAUCUGCUUCUCUUGCCUUAAACACCAAAGCAAAGCUAACCCUCUCCUUCUCACAAGUGAACUUCUCCUUCUCUUUUUCUCAACUCAACUCUCAGGAAUAACAGCGACAAAACAAAAGAGAGAAUGAAGCGUUCUUUAUAAAAUUUAGGGUUUUUGGUUUAAUCUGAUUAAACCAUGAUUUACUUAAACCGACAUUAAUUAAACCUCAUUUGAUUGAAUUGACAAAUCGACGAGGUUAGGAAAUCAACCGGAAUUAAACCGACUCCACCCUAAUUCUUAUACACAAUCAAGUCUCAUAUUAUUUUCCAGAACACAUGAGUUACAAUUCUCCCCCAUUAACAUGGAUUCGUCCUCGAAUCCUUCAACAUCGUCCAUCAGUCGGACUCCGUGCAACCGUCCCAAACGAUCCGCACUCCCACAACUGACUCCUCUGAGGCUCCUAUAUAAUCCAUAUACUCACGUUCCAGACCCUAUUUGCUCAUAUUCACCCACUUCCCCCGUCCACAGGUCGCAACCCAUGAAUCAGAUCGGCUCGUCCUCAGGCCUCUUCCUUAGAUUACGGUAUCCAGGAAGUCUCACCACUCCCCCCGCUCUCAGGUUAAAACCAUCAAGUCAUACCGGCUUACUAUUAGGCCUCCAGCCUUCAAGCUACGGUAUCCGGGAAGUCUCACUACUCCCCCCGCUCAAAGGUCGCAACCUUCAAGUCAUACCGGCUCACUAUUAGGCCUCCAGCCUUCAAGCUACGGUAUCCGAGAAGUAUCACACUCGCUCUUGGGUCGUCACCCUUAAGCGUGCUCUCGAAUCGUCAUCCGAGACUAUCACAUAACAUCCGAGCAAAUAAGUCUAAACGCCCCCGAGCAUAUAUCUAGAUCAGAUAUACCUCCCGUGGUUCUCCUACAGCAUCGCAAUGCUAUACUAACCACAAUCCUGGAACUUUCCAAAACUAGAACCAUCAAACCCGACGCUUUCUAUUUUUAGAAACUCACACAUAUUUCUCUUUCACAUGACACCAACAAGUCAAAUCUAAGAAAUACUCAUCUUAUUAAACUCAAUGUCAUAAUCAUUAUACCAAAAUGAAAAAUUCAAAAGAGCUACAACCAAACUCGACUCAAAACAAAAGAAACAAGACCAACGGUCUACUCCUCGACCUGCUUGUCAAGCCACUUUUGGAACCUUGCCUUCAACUUGGCUACUGACUAGGAAUCAUCCCGUGACUCCUCAACUCAUCUUCAAUACCCGCUGCCACCUCAACCAACUCAACACGCGACGCAUAGGCUCGCACCUUACACCGCACCCUCAUGUCGUGGUUGAGACCCUUCAUGAAACAACGCACCUGCAUCUGCUCAGGAUCUCCCGCACGACCCGAGUACACCAAGAGUCGGCUAAACUCUGAGUCGUACUCCCGCACCGACCGCUCACCUUGAGUCAAUGCCAGAAACUGCGACUCCAUCCGGUCCAGUGCCUCCACCGGGAAAUACUUGGCAUUAAAAUCUGCCAAGAAGUCCCCCCACACUAUCAAUCUCUGCUCCCUUUUAGCCAGCACACUCCUCCACUACAAGUGUGCAUCACCAGCCAAAUAGUGAGUCGCUAGGUCCACCCGGUACGCCUCUGGGCACCUCAUCGACUGGAAGUACCGCUCCAAUCGCAUCCGCUACUCAUCCGCUACAGCUGGGUCAGAACCCCCAAAGAACAAAGACAUCCCGAACCGAUGCAGCUGCUCCAGCAUCCGCAGGUAGUACGGCUGCUCGACCACCGCACCUACCCCUUCAGGCUGUACAACCCCAACAACAGGCUGCACACCAGGCCCAACGGGCUGCACCUCAGGCCCAACAGGAGCCUACAACUCAGGCCCAACAGGAGCCUACACCUCAGGCUCAACAGGAGCCUGCACUGGCGGUACCGCAUCCGGUAACCACUCCAAGAGCUGGAUCAGCAAAUCCGCAAGCCGAUCAUUCUGACCCUGGGCUCCACCUGUUGGAACACCCCCAACCGGGUUUCCAAGAACACUAGUACCGUUCCAGGACAAACCGGCUCCCACGGCACUCACACUCUCACCACCCACGGGCCCUUCCUGAUGCGACUGGGACUCACUUAGAAAAUCGGCCGUAGCAUUCCGACCCACACUCGUGUCGCUACCCGAGGCAACACUACGCUCCCUACUGCGACCACGCCCACGACCACGACCACGACCGACAGCUCCACCUCUAACCAUCUGCAACACAACAGAAGGCUAAGAACACCAAACAAAUCACCAAACCACACAACUUACCGUGGAAUCUCAUUGAAGGCUCGAGAGGAUGAUCUAGGUCUCCAUGCUCACACAAUUGAUUAAACACACAAUCAAUCAGCAUGCAAUCCACAUCAUCAUUCCUCAUCAAUAAAAUUCACACAUCACAUCACAAUUUUUUACCAAUUAAAUCUCGUCCUAGAACCGUAAAUGCUCUGAUACCAAAUUGAAAAGACCCGACAUGUUUUUUUAAUUCAUUAAUUAAUAGUCUCAUACCUACUAAUUAACCUAACCGAAUUAACCCAACAAUAAAUCAUCAUGCACAGCGGAAACAUAUUAAACCAACAUCAAUUAAUCAUAAUAUUAAUUAAUCAAUCAUUCAAUAACUACAAUUUACACCAGCAACAUAGCAUGCCUCUAAACCAGGUUCCAACAACAAUUAACAUAUUCAUAAGCAUAACAACCGAGACCCUAGAUCAUCCUCCUCUCCUUGCCAUCAUUCCACGGAUCACAAUUUACCUGCACCACAAACACAAUGAGAUGCGUGAGUAUUAUCACAAAUACUCAGUGAGAGCGAUCCUCCCAUCUACGAGCUAUACACACAAGCUAUGAGAUAACACCCACAUAUAUAACAUAAACAAACCAUUCAGCAAGCUAAACAUCCAAUAACACUUCCAAUUCACCUACAAAUGAUCACAAACAAGUCACUCAAUCCCAAUCGCUUAGAUAAGCUCAUGGUCACGCACUCACCUUAACAAGGUGAUUUGGAUAACAAAAACAACCAGGAAAGAUUCUCCUCGCGACUGCAUCAGCCAAACAACGCCCUACAACAAACAACACAAACAAAAAUCUCUAAGACCAAAAGGACAGAAACAGCAGGAAAACUACAGCCGCAGAAACGAAGCCCUAAAACAUAAACCAACCGUUAACUUCUUAAUCCCUACGGUGAAAAGCAAGAUCCAGACGUCACGAAGCUCCCCACAACCUUUGGUACCGAUCGGAGAAACGACGAAACUAUGAUUGCACUUAUAAACUCCGCUGAUCCCAGUUCGCAACAGAGAAAACACGUCUCACCAAACUGCAUAUAACUCACUGAGUAUUAAUCGGAAUCCACUUCUGUAAAAAGGAGAAUCAACGUACACGCGUUAAGAACAAACCAACCAAAAUUCAUUACCUUUCGAUAAGAUUUGAUACGUCGUAACUCUAUUCUACCAGGACGUGACGAAUCUGCUUCUCUUGCCUUAAGCACCAAAGCAAAGCUAACCCUCUCCUUCUCACAAGUGAACUUCUCCUUCUCUUUUUCUCAACUCAACUCUCAGAAACAACAGCAACAAAACAAAAGAGAGAAUGAAACGUUCUUUAUAAAAGUUAGGGUUUUUGGUUUAAUCUGAUUAAACCAUGAUUUACCUAAACCGACAUUAAUUAAACCUCAUUUGAUUCAAUUGACAAAUCGACGAGUUUAGGAAAUCAACCGGAAUUAAAUGACUCCACCCUAUUUCUUAUACACAAUCAAGUCUCAUAUUAUUUUCCAGAACACGGGCGUUACAACUUGCCUAUUUAAGGGCAAGUCUCUCGAUUGUAAAGGACACGCUUGAAUAAACUUAGGAAAAUGUUUCCUUUUCUUGCGUCUCUCUUCGUUUUCUCGAGCCGUGAAGGUUAGAGAUCGAAAAUCCUUGAAGAUCCUCGAACCGGGUUUCGUUGAUCUUCAAGCCGACCGUAUCGUGAGUUCUUCCCAUAGCUCACGUCUCGUCAUUCGAUCGACACACAUCCAGUCCGAGUACUCCUUCAUUUGUACGAUGGGUACUCUCCACCCUAAACCUUCCAUCGAAGGCUCCGACGGUUUCCGAGCCUAGUCAUCGACCCACGGACGUGCCAUCGAUCAUAUCCAUCGCACCCGGGGGUUCAUCAAUUGGUAACAGAGCCAAAGGUUUUAUUGUGUUAGGUUGUAUCUAUCCUUUAUCGUUUUUAUCUAGUCAUUUCUUCGCACUUGCAUGUUUUAUCGAGAAAAAACCCAUAAAAAUCGUAUUUUUGCAUCUUGUUUCGAGUCUUGUUAUAUUUUAUGCUUCCGCCUGCAUCUCUUCUACCGAAGAUCUGUUAAAGUCGUGUUUUUUCAUCUAGAUCGAUUGAGUUUUUUGAUUCUUUGCAUCGCUCUCAAAAGUUUUUCGAUAAAGGUCGCAUCUUUGCAUAUUUUCUCGAUCUUUUAUUUGUUGUAUCGAGUCUUUGCUUGUUUUCUGGUAUUUUGUCGAGUCUUUGUUUGUUUCUUGCUUUCUUUCUGUUGUUCUUGUGUAGAUCUUUCGAGUUUCUCGAUCGAUCUUGUGUUAUCGUCAAAAGUCUCGGUAAAGUUUGCACUUUUGCAUCCUUCGUCGAGAGUUUUGCAAAUUUCUGGUCUUUUUAUCGAGUCUUAGCUUGUUUAUUGCUUUGUUUCUGUUGUUUGUGUUCGGAUCCAUCGAGUUUCUCGAUAGAUCUUGUGUUAUCGUCAAAAGUUUCGGUAAAGUUUGCACAUUUGCAUCCUUCGUCGAGAUUUUUGCAAAGUUCUGGUAUUUUUGUCGAGUAAUAGUUUGAUUUUAGCUUUCUUUUUGUUGUUUGACUCUAGAUCUUUCGCGUUUCUCGAUCGAUUUUGCAUCGUUUCGAAAAUUAUCGGCGAGAUUUGCAAUCUUGCAUCUUUCAUCGAGAAUUUUGUGCGAUUUUGUGUUUCUUGCGAGAGUUCUUUUUGUUCUUGCUUAGUUUUUGCUAGAUCUGUUCUUAGGGUCUUUGCUUUUCGUUUUUUUGUUAUAGGGUGUUAGAUAUUUGUGUCUUUCCCUUUUUGCUUGUUUGUGUGUUUUAUUACCUUUGUUGGGUGAAGGUUAAAGGGUCAAAACAUUUGGUUUCUACCACUUGCUUUUUGCUCUUUAAUUUCUAGCCAUUCCUUUUGAAUUCAAACUUGGUCAAAGCCACUUUUGAAUUUUUGUGUGGUCUUAAGUCCUAGCUUUUGUUGUGUGGUCUUAGUUGUCUUUGCUUUUGCUUUUUGCUUUAUUGUUUUUGCUUUUCCUUUUGCUUUUUGAGAUUAUUUAUCUGAUUAAUUUGAUCUUAUACCUAAUCUCCCUUCUCUUUUUGCUUGUGUCUUGCGAGGUACUCCACCGAACAACCAUCGGUGACCGGACGAACCGCAGUCGCUGCCGGAGUCCGAUCGUACCAGCUCUCGCAUCUGACAGUCGUCCGCUGUCGCUACCAUCCAUCGAUCGAACCCAGCGAUCAUCAGUGCAUCCGUGCUUGCCGAUCGUCGAUCAUCAGCCGUCCGUACCGACCGUCUGUCCGUACCGAUUGUCGAUCGUCGACCACCGUCCGUACCUGCCAUCCGUACUCGCCGAAAUCCGUACAAUCCGUCCGUACCAUCGACCGAGAGCAUUCCAAUGCUAUCGACACCAUUCAACAUCGAUCAAGUAUGGGAUAUGUCCGGGUCUACUCCGAUGAUGAUUCUUGGAGUGAGUACGACCACCAUGUCGAUCAAGAGGAUGAACCAUGGCAUGAUGAAGGCUAUGAUAGCAAUCCGGAAGAAGAUCCAACCGAGUAUGGAUCACCGAGCUAUUGGCCAUCAUCCUCACAAGCCAUCCGCCAACAUGAGCCACGGACAAAGUUAUAUGAAGAUGAGUCCGAUAGUGAUGACUUGAGCUUCGGUCAUGAGGUCGUAAAAAAUCGAUCUCCGAAGAAGUUGGUGCUUACUUCUGAAGUAGCGGGGUUGAGGGAUUCCUUUGACUCCCUCGAAGCCAAACUUCAACUCAUUGAAGAAUGGUAUGCUCGGGAAGCGGCAUCCAAGCGCCAACACCGUACGUCAUCACCACCGGAUCAACAAAUCAGUCUGGAAGAAGUCAUUGGUUUAGGAGGAACCAAAGACAACCCAGUCCAGCCAGCCGAAGCCAAAGCUAGCGCAUCCGGCAACGUUCACCAAGAGGAGUCAUCGACCAGAAUGAGUUCUCCUGAUCAUUUGGCCAUGGGAUUCGAAAAUCACUCGAAAACCAUGCAUUUAAAUGAUUCUGGUCGAAGCAUAAUGUUGAGUGGAUCAGUUUCUCUUGAAGUUGGUCGAGAUACUCAACCCGGAGAGGCGUAACGAGUGGAUCUGCCGACCAGAAUUAGUCUUGCCAAUCUUUUGACCAUGGGCUUCGAUAUUCACUCGAUGACCAUGUGUUUAAAUGAUUCUGGGCCGAUCGAAUCAAGCCACCCGGAGACGAGCAACGAGUGGAGAAGCCAACCAGAUUGAGUUCUACUCGUCUAUUGAUUAUGGGAUUCGAAAGUCACUCGAAAACCAUGUCUUUAGAUGAUUUGGGUCGAAGCAGAAGUUCGAAUGGACCAAAUUCCUUUGGAGUUGGUCGAGUUAUGCUUCCCGGAGACAUACCGGGAGUGGAGCAGUCGAUCUUCCUGGAUUUCAGUCACAUUUUGACUAUGGGCUUCCGUUUCCACUCGAUACUGAGGCAUUUUGGGCACAUGGGUCGUGGCAGAUCAAGUGGUUAUCGAUCUAUUUUGGAAGAUGAUCGAGAAGUGCUUCAUCUUUCGAUAAAUGGGCGUGUAAGGCGAAUGCACCCACCCGAGAGGACAACUGAUGGUCCUAUCGCUUCAGUACUGUUUCAACCAGACAUCGUGAAAUAUAUGCUCCAGCUGGGAGUUACCGAGGCAGUACCCACCUUUCCCACCCGACGCACCAAGGCCGAUUUCGCUAAAGGGGUCUCGGCCACAAUCUUUUGCAACUUUGGUGCGAUCCAAUCCUAUGUGUGGCAUCCUGGAGAGUUUCAACCAGCCUCCAAUGCUUUGGAAGAAGCUACCAAUGCCACAAGCUUCACCGGGGAAUUUCAAGUCUUUUUACUUAGAACUUCAAUUUUUCCAUUCGAUCCCAGUAUAUUGAUUUGUAGCUUCCUUCUUGAUGCUGCUGAUGUGGUUUCUUUUUGAUCCAGGUACUAAGCUAAGUUUUGAGGUCAAAACUUCAAUAAGAGGGAGGGAAUGAUGCGUCCCCGGACAUCGAGUCACCAAGGCCGCCGUCCGUCCGUCCGAGAACACCAUCCGGUCAGCCGCAUCUAUCAACCGUUCGGGCAAAGUCUUCGACAAGCGAUCAUCCCGACGACAACGAUUCAGCCUCAACCCUUCAAGACAUCAACAAGAAUCAUCAAGACGAGCAAGGCGAGGUCAUCUCAUGGUCUUCUUCAACGAUCAACCUUUCGACAAGCCGAGCUUCAACCUUUCUCACCGAAGGUUCGUGGAACGCAUCACCACCGAGGAACUUUCGAUUGAGACAAGCUUUGGGAAAGCUUAGCUCGUGUGCCUUCACCUCCACGUCCGAGUGAAGGCAUCCCUAAGACGUUAGGUGAGCUGUACUCUUUUUCCCAACUUUGGGUUUGUCCCAAUGGGUUUACCGAAGGGGUUUUAACGAGGCAGCAAGUCUAAUGCAUCUCCACUUUGAUCCCACUCGACUCACGACUUGGAAACGUUAGUAGACAAGCUCCGGAGGCGAGGAAGUGAAGAUCCUAUCUCCAAGAAGGCAUCCAUCUUCAAUAAAGCCUUCUCCAUCGAUCCUUAUCGAUCCGUUUCUAUUUUCUCGAAGAAUUCUCGGUCGUUUCACUUUUUACCGAGAAUUUCUCGAUCCUUUUACCUUUUUAUCGAGAAUUUCUCGAUCCUUUUACCUUUUACCGAGAGAGCCGUUAGAAAACGCGCUUUCUCCCUUUUCCUUUGUGUGGAGCUUAAAGACCUACGUGUCUAGGGCAACUUUAAGCCCACUUUCUCGAUGACUUGUCUAUUUAAGGGCAAGUCUCUCGAUUGUAAAGGACACGCUUGAAUAAACUACCGAAAAUGUUUCCUUUUCUCGCGUCUCUCUUCGUUUUCUCGAGCCGUGAAGGUUAGAUAUCAAAAAUCCUUGAAGAUCCUCUAACCGGGUUUUGUUGAUCUUCAAGCCGACCGUAUCGUGAGUUCUUCCCAUAGCUCACGUGUCGUCAUUCGAUCCACACACAUCCAGUCCGAGUACUCCUUCAUUUGUACGAAGGGUACUCUCCACCCCAAACCUUCCAUCGAAGGCUCCGACGGUUUCCGAUCCCAGUCAUCGACCCACGG